rnacentral:lncRNA from 1 species
AGAGACACAACGACGUCUACUUUGUUCCUUGGUCAGUCGAUGGCCUGCGGGUGUCUGCUGGUGUCUGGCCGUGUGCUCUUUCUCGACGUACAGCUGUUUGUGUGUGUGCCCGCGACAGUCUCGGGUUUUGAUGGGCACAGGAUGGGGGGCCAAAAGGCAAAACUGUUUUGGUGGGCAAAAACAGAAAUGCCUGUCCUCAUUUAGGUCCAUGGGCACAGGCCCGAGGUUGUAGCCCUUGCCAGGGAUCCUGCCCUUCUCUACUCAGCACUUCGCUGCCCCUCUCCUGAAUCACAUCAAUUAAGAACUUUCUUCACCACCCCUUCGCUGUCAUCCUUUUCUCUCCACUAUUCACCCAACAUCAUCCGGGACCAGAACUAAUGUCAGCAAAGCAGGGGAAGGAAGUAAACUUCUAGGAGUAGAAGAAAGGAUGAAAAAGCCAACCACAACCCCCUUUCUUCAUUAAAGGCUUCCCUCUACCGUACUCGAAAACAACUUUGCCAUUUUGAUAAUCAAAUGAAAAAGUAUAGUUUCUAACUCUGUACUAUUUGUACACUAUUUGUACUUUCUAAAUCUAUACUAUUCGUAUUAUUUAAAAGUGACCAUAAAUAUUAUAAACUAAGUUAACCAAGGUUUUGCCUGGAGGCAAGGGAAGACCAAAUCCCAUGAUACAACUUAAAUAGUUGAAUUCCACUUAUGUGAAAACACACACAUAUGUUUAAAAGGCAUAUAUGUAUAAAAAUGGAUAUCAAAUGGUAUGAAAUAAUUUGCACUAAAUUGAUAAUUGAGGAAAAAAUGUGAAGAGAAACUUCCAGACCAAAAGCUUCAUGGGCAAAAGAACCAUAUCUUCACAUCCUUAAUGAGGAUAAGGAUUGCAGAGGCAGUACUUUGUAGAUUGAAGAGAAGUUUGUUAAUCCAAAGCCAACAGGAAGCUCACAAGUAAUUCCACAGUGUAUCUUCCAGAAACAACUUCUGCAUAGGGUAAAACUACUGCUCACAGACAUAGAUACAAAGCGGCCACACUACACUGAUUAAAAUUGAGCC